rnacentral:rRNA from 1 species
GGCGAACUGCUCAGUAACACGUCGGUAACCUGCCCUUAGGUUAUGGAUAGCCUCGGGAAACUGAGGGUAAUACAUAAUAGGAGAUUAACCCUGGAAUGAUUUAUCUCCGAAACUCGCGCCUAAGGAUGGGCCGGCGGCGGAUUAGGUGGUUGGCGGGGUAAUGGCCCACCAAGCCGAAGAUCCGUAAGGGCUCUUAGCGGAGAGGCCCUGAGAGGGAAUCUGAGACACUAUUCCCAGCCCUACGGGGUGCAGCAGUUAGGCAUAAUCUGCAAUGCGCGCAAGCGUGACAGUUUGAGCCAGAGUGCUUGUCAAUGACAAGCUUUUGCUAAAUCUAAAAAGUUUGGCGAAUAAGGACUGGGUAAGACGGGUGCCAGCCGCCGCGGUAAUACCCGCGGUCCAAGUCGCAGCCAUCAUUAUUGGGUCUAAAACAUCCGUAGCUCGUUCGGUAAGUUCCUUGUGAAAUCCGGCAUCUCAAGUGUCGGGCGCGCAGGGAGUACUGCCGGGCUAGAGACCGGGAGACGUAAUCAGUACGUUCUAAGUAGUGGUAAAAUACGUUAAUCUAGGACGGACUCACAACAGCGAAGGCAGGUUACGAGAACGGUUCUGACAGUGAGGGAUGAAGGCCAGGGGCGCAAAACGGAUUAGAUACCCGUGUAGUCCUGGCAGUAAACACUGCACACUAAACAUUAGUACCUCCUCGAGAGGUAUUGGUGCUGAAGGGAAAGCCGAAGAGUGUGCUACCUGGGAAGUAUAGUCGCAAGGCCGAAACUCAAAGGAAUUGACGG